CAAUAUCUCACAAAUAUAACUAUUUUAAAUGUUUUCAAAAUUCAAAUAAUAUUUUGUUGUUCUGGUUGUGAAUUCAAAGUGAUUUUCAAAAAGGUCUCAAACCAGUUUUCAAAUAAAAUAAGCAAAGAUGUUUUUUUUUUAAAGAAAACCCUAGCUAAUCUUCCCUGGAUCUUAUCUACCGGAGCAGCCCAUCUCUUCCUUCCUCCUCCUCCGUUCCAGCCCACCUUGACCGGUCCAUCUCUACAGAUGUAGCCCAGCUUGCCCUCCUUCCUUCUACCUCCUGUACGGCAUGAAUCUGAGCGGAGCCACGUACUCCACCUGAUGAUGGGACGGCUGCCAUGCACCACUCCCCUUGUAUAAAACUCACUGCAGCCUAGACCGAACCCUAGUCCCUCUCCAUCCCAUCCGCGCCGCCACUUUCUCCUCUAGUGGCUUGUUUCCCUGCCUCUGCUUGCUCUCUCCGUGGCUGUGCGUGUGCCGCGGGCGCGCCUCGUUCCUCUCCGGGCCGUGCUCGUCGUCAACCUGCUCGGCUGCGUUCGUCGCCAAGUCCCUGCACCAUGCUCGAUGGCGACACCCCGUCAGCGUCUACGUCGACCUCACCUCCGCGCGUACGUCCUCGAUCGAGCCAUCUCCAACCCAUCUAUUCUGGCUCCUAUCAAGUACGGCGGCCGUCGCCCUCCAGCUCGUCUUCAUCCGCGUCCUUGCCGGACGUCGCCUCGUCGCCCAGCUCCAUGCGAGACGCAUGCUCCAGCCGCUCCGCGCGACUCCGCCUCCGGCCACUUCGUCCCGGCCGCCUGAUCCGCCCAGAUCAUCACCGUCGCCAGAAGCGGCCCCCUGCAGCGACCUCGUCGCACACGUCUUCCUCGCCUCAUGCGCGUGUCCAAGCAGCGCCGCGCCGUGCUCGUCCCGACCUCCAUCGUCCCGGCGUUCGACCGCGCCUCAAGCUCUGUCCGACGUUCAUUGGCCGGCUCCGUCCGUCCCGUCAAGAUCACCGGUCGUUUUCCAUCCUCCAUCUCCCGGACGACGUCGUGGGCAUGCUCCAGUCCUCCUUCGACCAAGUUUCCGCUCCCCCAUCUGGUUCCUCCAGCGAAGGCGCAACCUUCCCAUCUACCCGCGUCUCGCCGUCUCAGACGUCCAGCAUCCAGGAGGCUGCGCGUGAUGCAUCACAUGGUCGGCACCUGCAUGCACGCGUGUGCACAGGCCCACGAAUCUGGCCGCUCGACCCCGUCUCGCUCGCCUCAGCUCCGUCUUCCUCCGCGUCGCCCAGGUCCUAUGCGCGGCCUUUCUGCACCUCAAGUUGGCUGCGCAUUCAUACGCAAUACGAGCACAUCGGCAACGUGUUGCUGGUUCUGCGUCGUCCGAUCGUUCUGGCCGGCCGGCCACCUGAUCCGGGUCUCCAUCUUGGUCCGGUUCAACAGUUGUCGCGGCUGCUCUUGAUCAAAUUCGUGCAGUAGCCCAUCUGCCGGGUCUCGCCGUCAGCCUCUGUCUGCGCCACCUCUGCAUCCUGUUGCUUCGUCAGCGCCUAGUCACCUUCCGGUCCCAGUGGUCAUUGACCUGGGCUGGUUCUUCCUUAGCAUUUGCUUCUUCCCGGAUAGGAUCACGAAAUGGUGUGUUGAGAUACGACGAGCUCUCCGGAUGUUCCUCGGCAAGCUUUAACAGGCAAGCAUUUUCCCCUAUACUUCUGCCCCUGCAGAAGUCGCUCACCUAUUUUAUUUUGCUUUCUCCCUCAUGCUAUCCUUAAGUUGCGUUCUUGUCACGUGACCCUUCCACUUGUUACCUCAAGCAGCCUAUAUUGUCUCCACCAACCACCUACAGCUAUUGUUUGGUUAUCGGGUCUGCCUUGCGUGUCGUAGUGCAUGCUAGUGCUUUUAUAUCGUGUUACCGUUACUGCUAUCUUAUCGGGUUAUCUGUUGGGGAAUCAUGACACAUGGUUUAUGGAUAUAUUUGUUGGAAGUAUCAUGGUUACUUGUUAAUAGUUGUUAGCGGAGACAUCGGUGGGUCAGUUGCUCGUUUUAUGACGGCUCACUUGUGUUUCCAUGAAAUCUAGGACCCCGAGUUCUUGUUAUCUGUUCCGAGACUGAGCGCUCUAACCACACGUGGGUAUGUUUCUGGGUCUCCCCUCGAC